rnacentral:rRNA from 1 species
CGGGGUGGAGUAAUGUCUGGGAAACGUGCCUGAUGGAGGGGGAUAACUACUGGAAACGGUAGCUAAUACCGCAUAACGUCGCAAGACCAAAGAGGGGGAACCUUCGGGCCUCUUGCCAUCGGAUGUGCCCAGAUGGGAUUAGCUAGUAGGUGGGGUAACGGCUCACCUAGGCGACGAUCCCUAGCUGGUCUGAGAGGAUGAUCAGCCACACUGGGACUGAGACACGGCCCAG